rnacentral:rRNA from 3 species
AGUUUUAUGGUUAUAUAUAAAAUAUUUUCUGCCCAGUGUCAAUGGAUAAAUGGCCGCAGUACCUUGACUGUGCUAAGGUAGCAUAAUCAAUUGGCUUUUAAUUGAAGUCUAGAAUGAAUGGGAUAAUGAAAUUUAGCUGUCUUAUUUUUUUUUAAUAAAAUUUAUUUAUAAGGUGAAAAUACCUUAAAAAUAUAAUAAAGACGAGAAGACCCUAUGAAUUUUUAAAUUUUUUUUUGUUGGGGCGACAAUUUAAAAUAUAAUCUUAAAUUUUUAAAUAUAUAACGAUUUUUCUAAUAAAAAUUAAAUUACCUUAGGGAUAACAGCAUUAUUAUUUAAAUAGUUUGUGACCUCGAUGUUGGACUAGGAACUAAAAGGCUAACCGUCUUUAUAGAUUUGUUCUGUUCGAACAAUUUUAUCCU